AAACAUCAGCGGUGAGCGCAGGAUCGCAGUGCCAGUGCCAUGGCCCAGGGCGGCGUUGGAAUGCGCGCACUUUUGUUGCCCGCUCAGCUGACUCAGUCCCACGUUGCCAGACGGAAAAAUCUGCGGCGUCCAGAAGUGGCGGAGCAUCCAGCAGAGGUGAAGUGGCAAAAAACGGUGUUGAUAGACCGCAGUCCGUUGACGAAAGUGCGCCGAGCCAGGGGGAGCUUGUAUCGCUGUGCCAUUCACGGAUGGGUGUCAUCGGGACCGGUUGCAUCGAAGAAACAGACCAUGGCCGGCCCAGGAAAAUCGGCAACAGGACCUGUACAAACAUAAGCGAAGUCGAGCACACGGAUACAAUCUCUACGUUUGCUGCUCGAACGCAUGCGAACGUGUCUCCAGAAGUCCACUGGCCACUUGGAAGAGCUCUUGAAACACUCAACAUGAACCAAAAAUCUGGGAAUCCAUGCAACAACAGCAACAUGGUGCGGUUUCCAUCGACGUCAUCGCAUCCCUUGGUCAUGUAAUGAACGGUGAUAUUCUGUACAAACAUGACAGACAGGGAAACCCAGUGUUACCAUAUGGUGUUACUACGGCUUAUGGCUUGAAUGUCGAAUCAUUGUUGAUUUUAAAAUAGGUAUUAGCUCAGUUACUUCAAUACGUUUUAACACACUUUUGCAAACCUGCAUGCGCCUGAACAUGUAGUAUAUAUCAAUUGCUUUACUUAACUAUUACAAACAUCUAAAAAUAGAGUGGUUUAACUUAGACGAACGACACAAACAUCAUGUUUGUUGUCGGCUUGAGUUAAUUAAACUACUUUUGUGGGUGCUUUUAGUUAGCUAUUUAGUUACGUUUGAGAAUGUCAAAUUUGAAUUACUCGUUUAUAGUAUGAGUAAUUGGUGAAACAUUCAAUAUUGUG